UACGUAGGCAGCGAGCGUUGUUCGGAGUUACUGGGCGUAAAGAGUGCGUAGGCGGUUUUCUAAGUUUGGUGUGAAAUCUCCCGGCUUAACUGGGAGGGUGCGCCGAAGACUGGAAGGCUUGAGUAUGGGAGAGGUAAGCGGAAUUCCUGGUGUAGCGGUGAAAUGCGUAGAUAUCAAGAGGAACACCUGAGGUGAAGACGGGUUGCUGGGCCAACACUGAUGCUGAUGCGCGAAAGCCAGGGGAGCAAACGGG
rnacentral:rRNA from 1 species